ensembl:rRNA 5S_rRNA 5S ribosomal RNA
ACUUUCAUCUACAGCGUUCUGAACGUGCCCAAUCUCAUCUGAUCUCGGAAUCUAAGCAGGGUUGAGCCUGGUUAGUACUUGGAUGGGAUUCCACCUGGGAAUACUGGGUGCUGUAGGCU